GUCUCUCUAUAUUGCCCAGGCUGGUCUCAAACUCCUGGCCUCAAGUGAUCCUCCUACCUCGGCUUCAUAAAGAAAUGGGAUUAUAGGGUGAGACCCUGUGCCUGGCCAUUAUGUAUUCUUAUGUGAAAUAAGUACUUCGUAAGAUAAUACAUAUAUCAUCAUGUAAUAAUAAUAACCAAUAUUUAUUGAGUACUUUCAGUGUACCUGAACUGUUCUAAGCACUUUAUAUAUAUUUCUGUCUUUAUCUAUCUACUAACUCAAUCUUCCUAACAACCUUUGAGGUACAAACUAUUAUCAUCCUCAUUUUACAGAUGAGAAAACUGAGAUCCAGAAAUUCAAGAUCAAUAACCAAUAAUUGAAAAGGAAGUAAGACAGCCUGCCUUUGGAAUAUUGUGCCACUUUACCAAUAAUUUACUCUAAUUAAAAUGAAACAAAAAUGUGUGCAUGUUAUUGGAUGUAUGGAAAGAUGCAUCAAACUAAAUGACCUCAAGGGAGAGGUGUGGCUUCCGUGAGGAAGAUGACAAGACUCCUUCUUGGUUCAACUCUACCAACUGUCUAUAGCAUUUCACAGUGUUGUGGAUGAUUAUGCUGUCUAGGGAACUGAGUAGUUACUGCACUUUCAAAAACAUCAUCUCACAGUCCUGAGGUCCUGCAAAGUUUGUGUCUUUCCAUUCUUACAUAUAACUUACUUAACAGUUACUGCUAUCAAGAAAGUCUUGCCUUCUCACACUUCUUCCAUUAUUUUUAUGCCCUAUUUCAGUGAUCUAUCCACACAUCCAUCUUCAAGCUUCCCAAAGGCAGGAAUCACCUAUUGUUCGUCUGUAAACUCCAAUGAGAAACAUACAGUCUGGUGUAUGGGAGGUCAUCAAAACAAGUGUGGAGGUAUAAGCUAAGACUGACAACUGCCUCCCAAGUUUCUAUUCAAAAGUAAUCAUUUUGGAUGUAAAUCUCAUCAGGAAUGUGUUUAAACUCAGGAACUGCUGAAUUGUACUGUAACUUGGCUCAUCCCAAAUAGUGCAGUUGUCUUCACAAUGGAGAGACUGUCACAGCCUAAAAAGACACGUGACUCUGAGCAUCAGUUUACUGGCUGCCCACUCAAUGAUUCAGACUCCUCCAUUCUUUGUGUGGAAGAGAACUGGCCUUCCGGGAGCCUGAGGCCAAGUGAGAGAACCUUCUGAAAGCCGUCACUGCAUGGGGAGCCUGGACUUACCC
rnacentral:lncRNA from 1 species